rnacentral:rRNA from 1 species
GAAUUUUAUAUGAGGGGAAUUAUAAUUAAGAAUUGGAUUUUUAGAUUAAUUUUUUAAUAUUUAAUUGGGAGGAUUGUUAAAUUUUUGUAACUUUGACUUAUAAAUAUACAGAUGAGUGGGAGUAAAUUAUUGAAUGAUAGUUAUAUAUUUUAGUAGAAUUAAUUACCUUAGGGAUAACAGCAUAAUAUUUUUAGAUAGUUCAUAUAUAUAAAAAUGAUUGU